CUGAGCUUCACUUCUCACUCAGCUUCAUUCUCGCAGUUCCUCGGUUCAUGUAAUAUUCCGUAAUAACCUUCCGUUUUUUGUCGGAUGUCAUGAAGGCCUUAAAUUGCGCUAUCCUUUGCAGCACAAUCGUCGUGUCCAUCCUUCUACUUGCACUGUGUGACGCCGCCAGCAUUGACUUCGUUGUGCGGAGUCUCCAACGGUCAGCAAGGGAUGCUGCAGACAAUUGGAG